AAGUUUAUUUGUGGCGUCUUUCUAAAGUGUUGAUUUUUUAACGUUUUAAAAAGCCAAAGUAACGUGUAAAAUGAUGAGUGAUGAUGACUGUUCCAUUUCUGAAACCCUCCCAGAACUCACGGAGGCAGUGAAUGCUGCAUCAUUGGAAUUGUUACCAAUAAAAUCUAGAAAUAAGUAUAACUAUGCAUACAACCGCUUCAUGGACUACCGUACGAAUAAAAAUGUAACUUCUUUCUCGGAAAAUGUUGUAAUGGCAUACUUCUUGGAGCUUGGUUCCAAGAUGAAUUCUUCAACUUUAUGGGCCAAUUGUUCAAUGCUGAAGGCAACCCUUGCAAUUAGACAUGAUGUGGAUAUAUCUGAAUAUUCAAAACUUCGGGCAUUCCUGAAACAACAAGCACAUGCCUAUAAGCCAAAAAAAUCCAAGAUUUUAACUAAAGAAGAAAUAAACAAAUUUAUUCAGGAAGCUCCAGAUAAGGAAUAUUUAAUGAUUAAGGUAGCUGUAAUAUUUGGAAUUUCCGGAGCUUGCAGAAUGGACGAGCUGGUUAAAAUGACUGUACAAGAUAUACAAGACCUACUAUCUAAACUUUUAGUUACCAUACCGGAUUCAAAAACCAAUACAUCAAGAUCAUUUAUAGUAAUAGUUAUUGUCAUACAAAUAAAAUUAUUAGUUUGGAAAAUA
rnacentral:lncRNA from 1 species